rnacentral:lncRNA from 1 species
UCUCGGGCCAUUCUGACAUCAUUCUGGGUGACAAGAACAUACAGCUCAAGUUUGCUCUGAAGAAGACGUGGACAUUAAUAAUACACAGGAACACCCUAGGAAGGACUCAAGGACAGCGAGCUCAUCCACCUGCCAGCAAGGCAUCUGCAAUGAGCAGCAAAUCACAGCUUUUAAUCACCUAGCCGUGCAAAGCAGAGAGCGCAUGAGCAGCAAAUCUUCCAUCUCCCUCUGCACUUUUCAGGCAAACCAAGUCCCUGCUGGCCAGAGGCGAGCUGUGCCGCAGCCAGGGAACACUGGCAGCACCUGCUCCCUCGCUCGCAGCUUCCUCACCAGCCACGCUGCUACCCAACUACAGAUAAUUUACGGCUGCAACGCUCAGGAGAAAGGACAGAAAAGCAGAUGCUCGAGAGUUUUGCCAGUUUUAUUCUUCAUGCUGCCUCUCUCUACAUAAAACUCUCGCUCUCCCCUCUCUCUCUUGCCCCCACAGGCAGUUCUAAUUAUAAUCACAGUGCACAUGUCUCUGAAACUUGGGGUUAAAAGGCCAGUUUCCAACCUCAGCCUCAAUACAUGUGCUAAGGGAUCCCCUUGCCUCUGCUGGCUGCUGCCACAGCUCCAGCGGGGGGCUUCUAGGAGAAAGGAAGGCUAAAGGGUCCUUUCUCUGGACUCGGCAUCUACUCCACCCACUCAAGGUCCCCUCUUCUCAGGGCCAUUGGGCGGCCCUGUCGGGAACCCUGGUGCCAUGCAGUUCUGUUGCCGAGGAGCAAGAGUUGGGCUUUCCUCACAUUUCUGGCGCAAGAGGCUGCAGGCGGAAAUGAACUGGGAACCAGAAGCGAGUAGGCGGCUCUGCAACCCCUUCAUCUCCAAGCCUGAAAGCCUCUGGUCGCACAGAUCUGCAGCCGAUUUCCGAUUUCCGCAUCCCGCUGAAGGUCAGCACCAAAGAUGAGUACCCAUGCCUCGAUCCUUGACACAUCUCUAAUGCAAACUGUGGGAAUAGGCUACACUGGAUGUCCUGUAGGUCUUACAACUCAGUUUACUCAAGGGACAAAUAAACUGAGUUUGGUUGAGAUUCUCCUGACAGGAAAACACCCAACAUCUGAAAGCAAUGAGCAUUUUGUAAGAUUAAAGGGUUGUCCUAUGCAUAUGUCUCAAGGCGACCACAGUUAUUUUACUAUUGUCUCUGUCAAGGCCACAUCACAGCCGAGUGAGGCAUCCAUGGUAGAACAGUAACUUUCCAACCUGAGAGCCGCGCACAACAACUCUGCACACUGCCGGAUGAGCUAACUGCCUGCCCCUCUGCGCCUUAAGCCAGUCAUGUCGGAAGUCCCUCUCCAGUACAAGCAUGUGUACCUUGUUCUGGUCUCCCUGACCACUAGCAGCAGUCAAUCUUUACAUGUUUGUUAAUUAAUUCUGCCCGGAGGACUGUUCCGAGCAGGGCCAAGGGUACUGCAGACGUUUCAUUACUCAGGUGCAGCGCUGAGAAAGCAAAGAACUGAACCACCACACCCUGGCGAAAGCACUCAGGUGAGAUGUCUGCAGACCUCUGCUGAUGUGUGAAAAGCAGAUGCAAAAUUCUGACUUUCUCUCUGAUAGCGUGGUCCUCUUUUGGACUCG